rnacentral:rRNA from 1 species
GCUGGCGGUAUGCUUAACACAUGCAAGUCGAACGCGAACGGUACUUCGGUACUUAUUAGAGUGGCGGACGGGUGAGUAACGCGUGGGAAUCUACCUAGUAGUUGGGGACAACCUGGUGAAAACCAGGCUAAUACCGAAUACGCCCUACGGGGGAAAGAUAGCCUCUUCUUGAAAGCUUUCGCUAUUAGAUGAGCCCGCGUUGGAUUAGCUAGUUGGUGGGGUAAAGGCCCACCAAGGCGACGAUCCAUAGCUGGUCUGAGAGGAUGAUCAGCCACACUGGGACUGAGACACGGCCCAGACUCCUACGGGAGGCAGCAGUGGGGAAUAUUGGACAAUGGGCGAAAGCCUGAUCCAGCAAUACCGCGUGUAUGAAGAAGGCCCGAGGGUUGUAAAGUACUUUCAAUUGUGAAGAGGGGAUGGUUAGUUAAUAGCAUUCCAUCCUGACGUUAACUUUAGAAGAAGCACCGGCUAAUUCAGUGCCAGCAGCCGCGGUAAUACUGAAGGUGCAAGCGUUAAUCGGAAUUACUGGGCGUAAAGCGCGCGUAGGCGGUUAUUUAAGUCAGAUGUGAAAGCCCCGGGCUCAACCUGGGAACUGCAUUUGAUACUGGGUAACUAGAGUAUGUUAGAGGAAAGUGGAAUUCAGGGUGUAGCGGUGAAAUGCGUAGAUAUCCUGAGGAACACCAAUGGCGAAGGCAACUUUCUGGGACAAUACUGACGCUGAGGUGCGAAAGCGUGGGGAGCAAACGGGAUUAGAUACCCCGGUAGUCCACGCCGUAAACGAUGAGAACUAGUUGUCGGGAGGGUUUACCUUUCGGUGACGCAGCUAACGCAUUAAGUUCUCCGCC